rnacentral:lncRNA from 1 species
AUGGCCACAAUCCUUUUCGUCGGCGUUCUCCUGAUGAGCUGCUGCUUCGUGCUUAUUUCCUCUGCAUCUGGCAAUGGAACGAUCAGGCCGAUCUUUUCGAUGAACCAAGCGAGAAAAUGUGGUGCAAUUGGAGGAACAGCGCGCUGCAAAGAGAUCGUUGACGGAUACAUUAUUGAAGACGGCAGUAUCUUUCAGUCAGCUGGGUAUAUAACAAAAACAUAUGAGGCACACUAUGGAUUUAUAGCAACAAUGGACGUUUACGGCUUCCCUCUUAGCCCGGGCCAAAUUGUCAGUUAUGGUUCAGCUUGGAUCAUAACUGAUAAUGUUGAUGAUCCAGUAUCGAAUUUAGAAGUCAUUCAGAUCGGUUGGAGGGUCGAGCCAGGUGAUAAACGCCUGUUUUCGACCUCUAUUGCAAUGGAUCCUGAUCUCAUUGGUCGCAUUCCCAUGUCGUACUACAGUACACUAUCUAACUCAGCAACUAACAUCUGGUUUGGAGGCAUGGUGGCUACAAAUGCUACAUUUCAACCGACUCCUCCGCUUCCGAUGGGCAGCGGUUACAUGCCAGCUGACAACGGUAACAUGGCAGCGUCCAUGAAGAACAUUCAACUCAUCGAUGAGCAAGGGCGAGCCUGGUCAGCAGGAAAUGGUUUAGUUGGCUUCUCCACCAAGAAGGAUGUCUACACCUUUACUCCUAUUGUUGGCGAUCAGUUUUUCUACGGGGGCCCCUUCCAGCUCACAAGCUCAGGAACCAUGUUGCGCGCUAAUGUCGUUUACCCUCUUCUACUAGUGUUGUUUUUUUAUUAUCUUUUCUCAUAGCUACCUUUGG